rnacentral:rRNA from 1 species
AGAGUUUGAUCAUGGCUCAGAUUGAACGCUGGCGGCAGGCCUAACACAUGCAAGUCGAGCGGCAGCACGGGUACUUGUACCUGGUGGCGAGCGGCGGACGGGUGAGUAAUGCCUAGGAAUCUGCCUGGUAGUGGGGGAUAACGUUCGGAAACGAACGCUAAUACCGCAUACGUCCUACGGGAGAAAGCAGGGGACCUUCGGGCCUUGCGCUAUCAGAUGAGCCUAGGUCGGAUUAGCUAGUUGGUGAGGUAAUGGCUCACCAAGGCGACGAUCCGUAACUGGUCUGAGAGGAUGAUCAGUCACACUGGAACUGAGACACGGUCCAGACUCCUACGGGAGGCAGCAGUGGGGAAUAUUGGACAAUGGGCGAAAGCCUGAUCCAGCCAUGCCGCGUGUGUGAAGAAGGUCUUCGGAUUGUAAAGCACUUUAAGUUGGGAGGAAGGGCAGUUACCUAAUACGUGAUUGUUUUGACGUUACCGACAGAAUAAGCACCGGCUAACUCUGUGCCAGCAGCCGCGGUAAUAC